GAUGAAGAACGCAGCGAAAUGCGAUACGUAAUGUGAAUUGCAGAAUUCACUGAAUCAUCGAGUCUUUGAACGCACAUUGCGCCCCCUGGUAUUCCGGGGGGCAUGCCUGUCCGAGCGUCAUUGCUGCCCUCAAGCACGGCUUGUGUGUUGGGCCUCCGUCCUCCUCCCGGGGGACGGGCCCGAAAGGCAGCGGCGGCACCGCGUCCGGUCCUCGAGCGUAUGGGGCUUCGUCACCCGCUCUUGUAGGCCCGGCCGGCGCUUGCCGACACAUCAAUCUUUUUUCCAGGUUGACCUCGGAUCAGGUAGGGAUACCCGCUGAACUUAAGCAUAUCAAUAAGCGGAGGA
rnacentral:misc_RNA from 1 species